CCCUCCCUGCUUCCCCUUUCCCCUUUGUUCAAAAAUGUCUCAUACACUCAAUGCUGCCUCACGGUCUUUCGUGGAGUUUCCAUACCUCUGUGAAUUGCCCAUGUGCAUGUAUUAAAGCUUUGAUUUUCUUCUGUUAAUCUGUCUCUAUUAAUUUGAUUAUUAGCCCAGCCAGAAGACCUUAGAAAGUGGGGGGGGGGGGGUGUUAAUAUUUUUCUUAAGUCCCCCUAGCACUUUGAUCAAUGGGAACGUCCAGAGAGCAGCCGCAGUGCUAGAAGUCCACCAGGGUUAGAUCGGACAGGGAGAACCCUGCACUUAGCUUUUCCCUAACAGGCUGGCCCAGCUCCAGUGCCCUAAGGAGGUAAGAAUUUAAGAAUUUAAGAUUGUCCCACUUUGAAUAAGGCAGCUGAAUAGAGGUCGAGAACCAUCGACCAUGUUUCAUCCCAGGGGCUUCAGGAUGAGCUUUUGCUGUAGUGUGGAGCUUGGCACAGUUGUGCUGCGGGAGUCAGGCAAGCAAGCACCACUGCCAGUCAUCAAAUAGGAAUGAGAAGGAGUUCAGAUCUUUCAGAUUACCUUUUGAAGCAGAAGAAAGAUCCAACAUGCAGCUCGCACUUCUCACAAUUCCCUUCCUUCUCAUGCCUCAAAUCUUUUGCAUUCAAGGCUGCCCUGGGAAGUCAUACAAUUCAAUCCCCCAGUUUUUCCCAGCAUCACUCUUUCCUAGCUUUUUGGGCUAAGCCCUAAACCCUUCUUCUCUCCUAGGUUUUUUUGUUUUUGUUUUUUAAUUCUACUCUCAUGAUUCUAUACCACGAACAAAAGGGGUUGUUCAGUUUGCAAGGGAAGGAAGCUAGAGGGCUUUUUAAUUAUUUUGAAGGCUAUUGGGUAGAAGAUGGCAUGGGCUUGUUUUCUAUAAGGACCCAGGAAAACGACCAAUGUGAAAGCCUUAGAGAGGCAUAAAAACGAAUUUUCCCAGUCAGCUGCCCAAAGAUGGAACAUGGGGACCUUGCUGGAUAGUGAGUGCUCAGUCCAGAAGUUCAAACACAGACAAGUUCAUCUUUUGGUUGGGAAGUCAGUGAAACUGCACCCCCAUUUUGAGGGCAUCUGAAGUAGGUGACAAGGUUUCUUUCAAACUGGAGCAUUGUGGCUCUAUGAAUAUGAAUGGAUAGCUAAAAAGUAUUUCAGUAGAGACCCACUGAGAGCGAUGUCACAGAGCUGAGAAGGAAGCCAAGAGAUGAGCCAGAUUAAUUACUAACAGGCUGUUUGGUAGCAGUGACACAUGUUCUGGCAUCCUGGGCAUACGUUUUGGCACAGCUGAGGACAAAAUGGCUAUCACUGCCGCUGCUUCCAAUCAGUAGGCCCAGAAGUGCUGACCUUACAGUGAAUUGUGGAGGUUGGGCCACCAUGGUGAUUCACUACACAAGGCAGACUCUCCACCCAGUGCCAAUCAGUGGUCUAGCUGGGGUCCUUCACAGGAUAAAAGCACAAAUCCAGGUGGAAACAAAGAUGAUGAGAUGGAGAAUUUGUCCAUACACUGGGUGUGCUAUUAGACCAACCUAACCAUCAGAGAGUAAGUCCUUGCUCUAAUGCACACUGUGCUAAGAAUUUAAUAGAUGUGGUCUAAUGACAGAGGAAGACCUCACUAUCCCCAUUUGUUUCACAAUAAGAUUGAUGCUCAGAGCAGGUAAGUCAUUCGGCUACUAAGUGGUACAGUUAGCAUACUCAGGACUCUACAUCUCAUCUCUGAUCCUUCACCAAAACCACCUGUAUUCAUGACCUCAUUAAACCUUCCAUGUCAACACCUUGUCCAGUUAAGCCUAAUGCUUUCCAUGAGAAACUGCCAGGAAACUGCUACUAGCACAGUUCUUUGUGCCCUGCAGGAACCUGUCAAAGCUUUGGAGAAUGAAUGAACUUGGAGUGGUCAACAAGGGGUGUACCAGCCACAACUUUAAAAAUACUGCAAAAAAGGAGAAACUCCACAAAAUAAAAUACACAUAGAAAAAUCACUCCCAUGUUUCAAAAUAUUUACAGCCUAACAUUUACAGGCCACCCAAAGUGUGGCGGUCAGCAGUCCCUGCCCUGCCCGCGUCAUGGUGAGAAGGCAGCGAGCUGUGGGGUAGGGGGUGCGGGCUGCUGGGACGGGCACAGAGCUUCCCUUAGCUUUCUCUCCUGGUUAGUUUUGGCUCAAGGGAUGUAGUUAUGAAAAUGAUUUCCACUAAAGUCAUCCUCCACGGAAACCACAAAGACUAGUUAACCUUCUCUCCAUUGAAGUAGAAAAAAGCAUGCUUGUGUGAGCGUGUAGGGGAAGGAGAGGGAAUGUGGACAGAGAGGGAGGGGUGGUGUAAUAACUCUUGUAGUCAUAAGACAUGCCAGUUGGUAGUUACUAGUAUUCCAGACACUUCCUAAUGCCAGACAAAUGCCCCAAGCCUCGACAUGUCUGGCUCAGAGAUCUAUUCAACUGAUAGCAGCCGUUCUUGCGGGGAGAACAGACCUUUCACGGAGCAGUGCUCUGAAGCUAAUCAAACACAACAUUGUUCUCAGAAGGAAGAAAGGAAAGGUUUGUUUUAGGCACAGUUUUUUUUUUAAAGAGGCACUCAAGUUGUUUUAACAAGUUGCUACAAAACUUGGGCUUCCUGAGGUGAGUUUGUUGCUCACAGUGCCUGUACUGUACCUAAAUCCAGAGAGGGAGGGAUCAGAAAGUUAGUCAUAAAAAAAGAAGAAAAAAAAAAAGCCCCAGGCACUUCAUGCCUGGAAAUGAUGUAAGACGCAGCCACUCCUCUGUUAGAACUACAAUCAAACAAUGCGCAGGCAAUCCGCGGCAGCUGCUCUCCAAAUGUCAGCGACAGCCCGUCAACAGAGCUUGAAAACCACCAAUCUGAAGGACUUUGUGCUGUACCUUUCUCGCCCACAUUUUCCCCAAGCACUCUCAGGAACCUGGCAACAGGAGGACCCCAAUGCUGUUGACUUUGCUGUGCAGCCAAGACUUCCGGGGGGGAGGGCAGCACCUCCCUAGACUUGGAGGCUGAAUCUUCAUUGGUCUGUAGGGCCAAGGAGAAGGGAAGUCUGGCGGGAAUGUUUUGGGGAAGGUUUACCUCCCUCUUUACAUGACAUGAGUCAGGAAGAUCCCUUUCUUCCCCUGGAUAUUGUCAUCCGCAAGAGAUACUCUGAGCUGCGUGGCUGCCAUCUGGGGACCACAAGGGGUAUUCUGCCUGAGCAGACAAACCUGCAGUGAUGGCCAUGGGUGAAAAGACGGCAAGAAGCUGGGUUUGAUACACUCAUCGGCUGCCCUUCCUUUAGACUUGCUAUUUUUUGAAAAAAUAAAUGCCUUUACCAGCUAA